GAUGAACGCUGGCGGCGUGCCUAAUACAUGCAAGUCGAGCGAACGGACGAGAAGCUUGCUUCUCUGAUGUUAGCGGCGGACGGGUGAGUAACACGUGGAUAACCUACCUAUAAGACUGGGAUAACUUCGGGAAACCGUAGCUAAUACCGGAUAAUAUUUUGAACCGCAUGGUUCAAAAGUGAAAGACGGUCUUGCUGUCACUUAUAGAUGGAUCCGCACUGCAUUAGCUAGUUGGUAAGGUAACGGCUUACCAAGGCAACGAUGCAUAGCCGACCUGAGAGGGUGAUCGGCCACCCUGGAACUGAGACACGGUCCAGACUCCUACGGGAGGCAGCAGUAGGGAAUCUUCCGCAAUGGGCGAAAGCCUGACGGAGCAACGCCGCGUGAGUGAUGAAGGUCUUCGGAUCGUAAAACUCUGUUAUUAGGGAAGAACAUAUGUGUAAGUAACUGUGCACAUCUUGACGGUACCUAAUCAGAAAGCCACGGCUAACUACGUG
rnacentral:rRNA from 1 species